rnacentral:rRNA from 1 species
GACGAACGCUGGCGGCGUGCCUAAUACAUGCAAGUAGGACGCAGUUGCGAACGGGUGAGUAACGCGUAGGUAACUACCUAUUAGAGGGGGAUAACUAUUGGAAACGAUAGCUAAUACCGCAUACUAGUAGAUGGACCUGCGUUGUAUUAGCUAGUAGGUAGGGUAAUGGACUACCUAGGCAACGAUACAUAGCCGAGCUGGGAGGGUGGUCGGCCACACUGGGACUGGUGCACGGCCCAGACUGCUACGGGAGGCAGCAGUAGGGGAUCUGCGGCAAUGGGGGGAACCCUGACCGGGCAACGCCGCGUGAGUGAAGAAGGUUUUCGGAUCGUAAAGCUCUGUUGUUGAGGGAGCGGUACUUAACCAGAAAGGGACGGCUAACUACGUGCCAGCAGCCGCGGUAAUUC